UGGGGAAUAUUGGACAAUGGGCGCAAGCCUGAUCCAGCCAUGCCGCGUGAGUGAUGAAGGCCCUAGGGUUGUAAAGCUCUUUCACCGGUGAAGAUAAUGACGGUAACCGGAGAAGAAGCCCCGGCUAACUUCGUGCCAGCAGCCGCGGUAAUACGAAGGGGGCUAGCGUUGUUCGGAUUUACUGGGCGUAAAGCGCACGUAGGCGGACUAUUAAGUCAGGGGUGAAAUCCCGGGGCUCAACCCCGGAACUGCCUUUGAUACUGGUAAUCUUGAGUUCGAGAGAGGGGAGUGGAAUUCCGAGUGUAGAGGUGAAGUUCGUAGAUAGUCGGAGGAACACCAGUGGCGAAGGCGGCUCACUGGCUCGAUACUGACGCUGAGGUGCGAAAGCGUGGGGAGCAAACAGG
rnacentral:rRNA from 1 species